UGCAACACUGGAACUAAGCCACUGAAAGCACAGUUCAACCUUCACAACAGGUUUCCUGAAAAGCUGCAGCAGGAACAAAAUCUGACUGUCCAAUGCAGAAUCCUAAUCUGUGGAUACAGGCUGAGUGAUGACAUUUUGCCAUAAUAAGCACUGCAUUUGGCUCCUGUGUGCUUUUACUGAGACCAAUAAAGCAACAAACGUGAUUGAAGAUUGUAAACGCCCUCAGCAACACUGAAUUGGCUCUUGUUCUGCACGACGGCCACCACACCUCAGAAUUCGGUGUCUGAAUGAUGAAGGCUGGUCUGACUCUGGGGAAGUCUGAGCCCCAAACACUUGUGAUGAAAGAAGAAAGACAAAUGACCAUCUUCAAAGGAUGGAUUAACGUGUUGCUAUUCAAAAAAAAGGAGUAAAUGGAACAUGGAUACAAAUAACUGCAAAGUGCGUAAAGCAUCAUACGAUUUAUUCAGCACGGUUGUGACAAGCACCCCUGGCUCCUGGAUUCCAUGUCCACUCUGCAAACACUCCUGGCUCCAAGAUUCACAGAGCAUUCUCCAACUUGCCUAAGUCAGUGGACUCAAUAGAGUCAGCAGAGUUGCUUGAAGAUCUCUGCUUUGUCUUCAGCCCACCUGAUCUAYAUCUGGCAAGUCUGGGAAAUUUUACUCACCUGCAAUACUUUGCCAAAUUCUUGACAAAGAAUAGAGGACAAUAAACAAAAAAAAUAGAUGGACAGAGAAUACUUGGAAUGAAUUUACUCAUGUUCAACUAAUACCUUAUGYACAUCUUAAUUAUGUGUCACAGCUGAAGGCUAGAGGUAUCUGCSCUCUGUUUCACUGUGCCUGUGAGGCUGCAGGUCUGUUCUGAGCUGUCUUAUCUUAGCAAUUCAGCCCUAGUUCACUUUCAAAGAAAAUCCUCUCUGKUUUUAUAAUGGCUAAUCCAGAUGCUUUCUAAAGAUUUUUUUGCAUGAAUGGGCAGAACCAAGGUCUKCAGAGAAAAUGACAAUGGAUUCUCAUUUAUACUAAGACUGAUGGAAGAUACAGACCUCAUCAUUUAUACAACAGCUCUGACCCAAACACUGGGAGACAUGAGUUGAAAUCAUAAUUUGGUUAAUAAAUUCAAAAUUGUCCUUUUGAACUUCAAAAUAAAUGAAAGGUAGCUUGAGUUGCAUCCUAAUGGUUUGAGCAUUCACCUGGGAGACAAAAGCACUGAAUUUUGUUUUAAUAAUCACAUUAUUCAUAAAAUAGAGAAUGAGUGAUAAUUUCCUUUCUCACAAGUUUGUACAGGUGCUUGAACUAAGAGCAGAAAGAAAAUAGAGACCAAUCAAGCGAACCCAAUACAACCACCUUGAACUUCCUUGAACCUCCAUGGCGUUAGGCCUGUGAGGUAAGAAUUACCUUCCCCCAAAGAGCUGCCCACUUAUUUAGACAAUAAAGAGGAGGUCAUCCAGUCUGCAUGGGUGCUAAAGAGCCCUUUCUCCUUUGUCUCUUAUUAAAACUGUGUCCUUAGAGGACAUAAAAUUCCAGCAUGUCGUUAUAGGAAAACAGAGGCUUCAUGCUAAGUAGAUCCUAUUGUCUUAGCAGCUGAAACUGCAGAACAAMAAAAAAAAAAACCCAACCCCCACUUCAAAAGAACAAGAUUAGAAUCACAAAGCUGAGUAUUCAAAAGCAGGGAAGUGGCAGAAUGAAGACAGCCAGAAUUGUCUUUUUAACAAUUCUGUCUGUAAGUAUAACUUUCAAUAACUGCAUGUUAUUGAAAGGUCACCAUGCUUUAUUUCUCGCAUAGCAGUGAAUAGUUACUAUUUUCAAACUGAUGAGUAGUUAUGCUUAUUUUCUUUGUAUUGUUGUAUAGAUAGCUCCAUGCCCUGAUACAAUACAUUUUGAAACUUCAGAGCAGUAGGAGGGGAUAUUAACCUCAGUUUUAUGGCUCUGGAACUAAGAUGAGAUGCAGUGUUUUCAGUAAUUUUGAAUGAUGAUUUGGAAAUAGAAGCUCAUUUUUCAGAGUUCACAAGCUUGUGCAACAUAUUAUCCAUGUGACAUGACUUCAUUUGCAAUUGUCAUUGGCUUAGUCUAUCUGAGAAUCAGAGCUUAGUGUCUCACAUUACAAUACAGAGAAAAUGAGAAACACACAAUUUUUAGUUUUCCAUAAAAAUUUUAGGUGAAAUGACUUUCCCAGAACUCCUAGUGCACAUUAUGGGAAAGCCAAAGACGGUAUCACAUUUCAAGGGUGACAGCAGGAAGGCCUGRGUCAGGCUGCAGGUGAUGAGGCUAGAGGAUCAAUACCUUGGAGACUUAACUAUUAAAAUCAGUUUCUCUUGGUCAUGAGUGAACUGUGAUUUUCAUAAUACAACCUAAAGCAUGUCCUUUCCAUAAAAAUCCCCCAGAAUCAUCUGCCAUUGCUGCAGAGCUUGUGGUGGCUGGAGAAGUUUUUAGUAUAUUGUUACUAUUGGGCAUCCUUCAGMUUUGUCCCUCAACAUUAGUGAAAGGUUUUGUUUUAAAUACAUAGUCARCUUGAGUCAAACAAUGAGCCAGGAAAAAAAAUUAUGAAUGAUAGAAUGAUAUAUAUUAAAGUUUUCUGGUAACAUUUYCAUUUCUUAGGCAUAGUGUGUGAAUUUCUUCUACUUAUACAGAGAGAAAUCUGCAUCCAACAGAAAGAUUGUCUUAUCAUUAUUUUCUUAAAAGAAAYGUGACUCUUUUCCCAUUAAAUUCCUGAUAUUGAAAAUAACCUUGAAAGUAAUACUGUUUUGCUACACCAUAGAAAACAGGUGAGUUUUUUCCAAGUAUGGAAUGACUAUGUUGCAUUUACUAAUUUCUUCAUGGCAGAGAACACAUAAGAGAUACAGAAAUCAAGUUUGUAUUGAGCUAGACAUCUCUGGCCUCUUUAUGUUGCUCCUAUUUUACACUGUUGCAGCUAUUUUAUGUURACAUAUAUGAAAGUAAAAGGAGGACUAGGAUCCUCCUCCAUGGUUUCAUUCUGUGUUUACAGAAAAUAAUGGAUGCCAACAUCAGAAGCACAUUAACCAUAAAAGUAAUUUUAUUGAAAAAUAUUCAAUAAUUUAAAAAUCAUGAGGUUUUUUUUGUCACCACAAAGCAGCUAUUAGUGUAGUCAGAUCACUGAUGCAGGCCUGAGAGAGUGCAUGUGCUGUCUGGUAAUGGUAAGCACAUUAUUAAUGCAUAAAACUUGCCUGAGUACAUAAUAGCUGUUACCUUAUAUUUAAUGCGUGUCAUUGGUAGAGARAAACACACUCUGCUUUUGAAAUAGAUAAUUUGGGUUAGCCAUCACUAUGGAAAACUGUACUGGAGGCAAAAGAAAAUCUGAUUGACCUYCAUGUCAAUAAAUGUAGUAAAGCUCAGUCUCUUCCCUGACAUGCUCUCAAAGCUGCAUCACCAGCCAGCAAUUCAGAACCACCAAGUGUACAAUUUACAUCUACAGACUGAUGGUAAUUCAGGAGCACCUGCUGUGUAUCACAGCUAAAAG